CCAUUUACUCUUUUAACCCAACUUGCAAAAUCUGUGGUUGUCAUCCUCUUGGUGUUACAUACGUGCACUCUCGACACUGUUCAACGGUUUGUCUCCGGAGGAUAUAGAGAAGAAAAUGCUUUCACCGUUCGAGGCGUUUACGACAAUGGAACCGGGUCGACAGAUUAUUUCAGUGGCUGGGUCGACCCGGUUGGGAAUCUACGGGUCGGAUAUCGGGUGGGGGAAACCGUUGAGGGUAGAGAUAGUGACGAUCGAUAAGGACACGUCAGUUUCGUUGUCAGAGAGUAGAGAUGGAACCAGCGGUGUUGAGAUUGGGCUUUGCUUGACGAAAGAUGACGUGGAACGGUUUGGUUGGUUUGAUUGCUUUGCUUAGCUAUUGUGAUGCUAUCGGAGGGAGACGUGUGUGUGAGUGUCGAGUGUGCACAUGUGUCAAGCAUCCAGAGGAAUGGCGUCGAUGGAUUUUGCAAGUUGGUUUAAAAGGGUAAUUCGUUGUGAGGCCUACCAUCUGAUCCGUUGCGUGUUGUCUAGAGAUUCUCUUGCUCCGUAAAAGUCACAAAGUAUGUACACAAAUUUCAUACGUAUCUUUCACUGUUUCACAUGCUUUGUCUUCUUCUUUUUCGAAUUUCGUUUCUUAAUUGUUUUG